rnacentral:lncRNA from 1 species
GGCUGAGGGAGUUUGUUUUAGUGCUGAAUACCCCGGGGAACAAAAUCCUUUUGAAAGGAAAGCUAACUCGUUUCACGCUACCAAAGUGGAGAUUUGGUGAUGACUGACUAAUGGGACAAAGCAGCAAUGGCCAACUGCCUUCCGGAGCAGGAAAGCUAAGGACCAACACCUUGCUGCCUGGGGAACACAAGCUCAUCAGAGGUCCUUCAAGAUCCCGAGCUCCCCACCUCCUCCCAUCUCAAGACCCUCGAGCCUAACCUGGCCACCCAAAGUAACACCCAAGACAU